AUGACGCUUCUAAGCUGGAACUCUCGAGGCCUCGGGCAACCUCGCACAGUUCAGGAACUCGUGUGUCUCGUGCACACCUACAAGCCCAAGCUCGUCUUCCUCUCCGAGACUCGGCAAAAUAAUAAGUACGUCAAAAAUCUCAAGUGGAGGCUGGGCCUCCGGCAUUGUAUCAUGCAACCCGGCAUUGGAAAAGGUGCCGGCAUUGCCCUCUUCUAUGAUGAGAGUAUCGAA
rnacentral:rRNA from 1 species